rnacentral:rRNA from 1 species
AUUGAACGCUGGCGGCAUGCCUUACACAUGCAAGUCGAACGGCAGCAUGAUCUAGCUUGCUAGAUUGAUGGCGAGUGGCGAACGGGUGAGUAAUACAUCGGAACGUGCCCUGUAGUGGGGGAUAACUAGUCGAAAGAUUAGCUAAUACCGCAUACGACCUGAGGGUGAAAGUGGGGGACCGCAAGGCCUCAUGCUAUAGGAGCGGCCGAUGUCUGAUUAGCUAGUUGGUGGGGUAAAGGCCCACCAAGGCGACAAUCAGUAGCUGGUCUGAGAGGACGAUCAGCCACACUGGGACUGAGACACGGCCCAGACUCCUACGGGAGGCAGCAGUGGGGAAUUUUGGACAAUGGGGGCAACCCUGAUCCAGCAAUGCCGCGUGUGUGAAGAAGGCCUUCGGGUUGUAAAGCACUUUUGUCCGGAAAGAAAUCGCACUUACUAAUAUUAGGUGUGGAUGACGGUACCGGAAGAAUAAGGACCGGCUAACUACGUG